UACGUAGGUGGCAAGCGUUGUUCGGAAUUAUUGGGCGUAAAGCGCGCGCAGGCGGUUCCUUAAGUCUGAUGUGAAAGCCCACGGCUCAACCGUGGAGGGUCAUUGGAAACUGGGGAACUUGAGUGCAGAAGAGAAGAGCGGAAUUCCACGUGUAGCGGUGAAAUGCGUAGAGAUGUGGAGGAACACCAGUGGCGAAGGCGGCUCUUUGGUCUGUAACUGACGCUGAGGCGCGAAAGCGUGGGGAGCAAACAGG
rnacentral:rRNA from 1 species